AAAUGCGAUAAGUAAUGCGAAUUGCAGAAUUCAGUGAAUCAUCGAAUCUUUGAACGCACAUUGCGCCCCUUGGUAUUCCAUGGGGCAUGCCUGUUCGAGCGUCAUUUGUACCCUCAAGCUCUGCUUGGUGUUGGGUGUUUGUCCCCGUCUCCGCGCGUGGACUCGCCCCAAAGUGAUUGGCAGCCGGCGUACUGGUCCCGGAGCGCAGCACAUGUCGCGCAAACGAGUGCCUUGGUACGGCGGCGUCCAUAAGCCCCUCUCUCACGCUCUUGACCUCGGAUCAGGUAGGGAUACCCGCUGAACUUAAGC
rnacentral:misc_RNA from 1 species